UACAGAGGAGCCAAGCGUUGUCCGGAUUGACUGGGCGUAAAGCGCACGCAGGCGGACGCGCGCGUGGGGUGUGAAAUCUGGCCGCUUAACGGCCAGGCGCCAUCCCAUACGGCGUGUCUGGAGUGAUGCAGAGGUCGGUGGAAUUGCCGGUGUAGUGGUGAAAUGCGUAGAUAUCGGUAGGAACACCAGUGGCGAAGGCGGUUUCCUGGGGCAUUCUUGGACGCUGAGGCGCGAAAGCUGGGGGAGCGAACGGGG
rnacentral:rRNA from 1 species